rnacentral:tRNA from 1 species
GCCUGGGUAGCUCAAUUGGUUAGAGCGUUGGUCUGAAGAACCAAAGGUUCCCGGUUCGAUUCCGGGCCCAGGCACCA